rnacentral:rRNA from 1 species
UGGGGAAUAUUGCACAAUGGGGGAAACCCUGANGCAGCAACGCCGCGUGGAGGAAUGACAGCAUUUCAGGUGUGUAAACUCCUUUUAUAUNGGAAGAUAAUGACGUACUAUAUGAAUAAGCACCG